GACGAACGCUGGCGGCGUGCUUAACACAUGCAAGUCGAACGGUAAGGCUCCAGCUUGCUGGGGUACACGAGUGGCGAACGGGUGAGUAACACGUGGGUGACCUGCCCUGCACUUCGGGAUAAGCCUGGGAAACUGGGUCUAAUACCGGAUAGGAACAUGGUGUGGAUACUGUGGUGGAAAGUUUUUUCGGUGUGGGAUGGGCCCGCGGCCUAUCAGCUUGUUGGUGGGGUAAUGGCCUACCAAGGCGGCGACGGGUAGCCGGCCGGAGAGGGUGGACGGCCACAUUGGGACUGAGACACGGCCCAGACUCCUACGGGAGGCAGCAGUGGGGAAUAUUGCACAAUGGGCGGAAGCCUGAUGCAGCGACGCCGCGUGGGGGAUGACGGCCUUCGGGUUGUAAACUCCUUUCACCAUCGACGAAGGGUUUCUGACGGUAGAUGGAGAAGAAGCACCGGCUAACUACGUG
rnacentral:rRNA from 1 species